UACAGAGGUCUCAAGCGUUGUUCGGAUUCAUUGGGCGUAAAGGGUGCGUAGGUGGCGCGGUAAGUCGGGUGUGAAAUCUCGGGGCUUAACUCCGAAACUGCAUUCGAUACUGCCGUGCUUGAGGACUGGAGAGGAGACUGGAAUUUACGGUGUAGCGGUGAAAUGCGUAGAUAUCGUAAGGAAGACCAGUGGCGAAGGCGGGUCUCUGGACAGUUCCUGACGCUGAGGCACGAAGGUCAGGGGAGCAAACGGG
rnacentral:rRNA from 1 species